AACACAAAAGGCCUCACAUAAAAGUUGCAAAUCACAAUGGUUUCAAACAUUUAACAACAAUAUAAUAAAACAUGGCGAUACAUUAUUACAACACAGGGAUAGGCUACAAUACUUACUGUGGCCGCCGGCCACAAAUCUCUCUCAGGCCCUGGUGACAGGAUCGAAGUUGGAGACUCCGAUGACAAGUCCGAUGAUAGCAGUCAAUACAACCCCGCCAGAAACGAUGCUCAGCAGGAAGUUCUUCAACGACGGAGACAGUCCCGGCUGCGCGGCCUCCGCGAUCUCUGGCAGUACCAGCGCUGCCGCCAUCGCCGCUGCCGUCGCCACUGACACGGCCUUCUCCCUGUUGGAAGUUGAUAGUGACGCCCUGACCGCAAACCGCGUCGGCUUUGCGAUCUGGGGGACGGCCCUCGGAGAGACCUUCAUAGGGUUGAAGAUUGCUGGCGCGGCGAUGGCCAUUGUAGCAGAGGCCAUUGGAGGUGGCAGGAUUAGGGUUAGGGUUUGG
rnacentral:misc_RNA from 1 species